CUCCUCCUCUCUCUCUCUCUCUCUCUCUCUCUCUCUCUCUCUCUCUCUCUCUCUCUCUCUCUCUCUCUCUCUCUCUCUCUCUCUCUCUCUCUCUCUCUCUCCUACUAAUUUCACCUUUAUUGUUAGCAACCCUUCUUCCUCCACCGCUCAUUAUCACCACCAUUGUCACCACCACCACCACCACCACUACUACUGACAAGAUUCAAACCGGGGUGCACACGGAUUGAAAGUGGCCAAUUGAUCACCGGCACUUGUUUUUACGACGCCGCCGUUUGAGUUCGACGGGCCUUGAGUGCUCCCGCCUCACGUGAGCCGCUGCCUCGGGUGGCCUCUCGUGGCUCGGUGCCGGCCAGCCUCUGCCAGGUGUGCCACCGCCGCCAGAUCGGUUACCUGUUACCUCGCACGCCGAGCACCUGUCGCCUCCAAACACCUGCCUGGCUCAACGUAGUGUGGGGUCGAGGCAAAAAUUAACGUAACCUGAGGACCUUCGCUUCCUAAUUAACGCUACAG